GACCUAUCGAUGGCCGACCAGCACUAGCAGCGCCGAACAUAUGUUUCAAGUCUCUCUCAACUUUCGAACGGAGCGGAACGUCGAGCGCACGAAAUCGGAAUUAUCUCGUUGGAACAAACGUCGCCGCGUGUGAUCGAAAAUCCAAGUUAAGCACAUUCGUAGGGAAGCUGCGAGGCAAUCAAACGCCAACCGACGACCAAUAUCCGCCCGCCACCCUCUUAGCCACGCCCCGCGGCCCGUGUGAUAACAAAGAUAAUGCAAUAAAGGGCAACCGUUGGAAAAAUCUGUGAGAGAGCCAAGAAACGUGACCCAGGCAAAAUUUUGUUUGUUUGUCUGGCUCUGCAUAUACAUAUACAUAGUUUAAACGUGCGUGAGAUUGUGUAUGCGCGUGUGUGUGAGCAGCCGUCGCGUUAGUAGUAGUAACACGCUAAACAACAAAAAAUUCAUCUCGCGUUAUUUACAAUUAUAAUUAAACAAAAUUACAAAAUUGUUUCCAUCUCCCUCGCUAGUUCACUCUCUCUCACACACACACGCACGAAUAUUACCCCCGGCGCGUUUUUCUUCCAUCUCGCUCCCACAAAGGCGGAAGAAAAGAAAUUAUAAACGAAAAACUGCCACCGCCGCUGCUCAAUAAUUUGUGCAUUUUUAAGUUUCAUUACAAUGUCCUCAAAUCUAAUUUAAAUAAGUAAGAAGUGCAAUAAGCGACACGCAGCGAAACAAAUAGCGCUGAACAGAGAAGCACGCCAGGCCAAACAGCAACAAAUGGCCAACAAUUGAAUGGCGGCCAUCAGUUGGCCCCAGCGGCAUCCAUUGAGCAAUCAACACCAUUUCUCCCACAUCAAAUCAAGCACCACUUCCAGCAGCACCAUCACCACCGCCACCUCAGCCACCUCAGUCACCACCGCCGUCACAGCUUUGGGAACCAGAACCACAGUCCAAGACCCAGUCGAAACCACCACCACCACCAGUAAAAGCCACAGCCUAGCAGAACCACAACCACUGAGCUCCAUCGGCAACAAAUACCAGAACCGGGUGCAGCUGCUCGAAUUAUUUGGAAAACUUGCCGCGUAGUCCAUCAAUGAGCGUUUCGAUGUCACUGGUACAGGGUGGUGCUGCCGGUGGUGCGCCACAGGGCGCCAGCGCAAUCUUGGCCGCAGCGGCUCCCUACUAUCAACCGCCGGCUGUUCCCCAGGAUGUCCAGCCGGAUCGUCCCAUCGGCUAUGGAGCAUUCGGAGUUGUCUGGGCUGUCACAGAUCCUCGCGAUGGACGACGAGUGGCCUUGAAGAAGCUGCCAAAUGUGUUCCAAUCGUUGGUCUCAUCGAAGCGCGUUUUCCGCGAGCUGAAAAUGCUGUGCUUCUUCAAGCAUGAAAAUGUUCUUUCAGCUCUGGACAUUCUACAGCCACCGCAUUUGGAUUUCUUUCAAGAAAUCUAUGUGAUAACGGAGCUGCUGCAAUCGGAUCUGCACAAGAUAAUCGUGUCGCCGCAGCACCUGUCCGCCGACCACAUCAAGGUGUUCCUGUACCAGAUCCUGCGCGGCCUCAAGUAUCUGCACUCGGCCCGCAUCCUGCAUCGCGACAUCAAGCCUGGCAAUCUGCUGGUCAACUCGAAUUGCGUGCUCAAGAUCUGUGACUUUGGAUUGGCCCGCGUCGAGGAGCCCGAUCAGGCCAAGCACAUGACCCAGGAGGUGGUCACCCAGUACUAUCGCGCACCGGAAAUUCUGAUGGGCGCUCGCCACUACUCGUCGGCGGUGGAUGUGUGGUCGGUGGGCUGCAUUUUUGGCGAGCUGCUGGGCCGUCGCAUCCUCUUCCAGGCACAGAAUCCUGUGCAGCAGCUGGAGCUGAUUACCGAGCUGCUGGGCACGCCCACCAUGGAGGAUAUGCGUCACGCCUGCGAAGGCGCCCGCACCCACAUGUUGCGCCGGGCGCCCAAGCCGCCAUCCUUCUCGGUGCUCUACACACUCAGCUCGCAUGCCACGCACGAGGCGGUGCACCUGCUCUGCCAGAUGCUCGUCUUCGAUCCGGACAAGCGUAUCUCCGUGACAGAUGCCCUGGCGCAUCCGUAUCUGGAUGAGGGGCGUCUGCGCUACCACUCGUGCAUGUGCAAAUGCUGCUUCACUACCUCAGCCGGAAUGCGUCAGUAUACGGCUGAUUUUGAGCCCUCCGCCGGCCAGCCCUUCGAUGAUCUGUGGGAACGCAAGCUGACAUCCGUGCAGCAGGUCAAAGAGGAGAUGCACAAGUUCAUUGCCGAGCAGCUGCAAACGGGUCGUGUGCCGCUGUGCAUCAAUCCACAGAGUGCAGCCUUCAAGAGUUUCGCCAGCCAAUGAGAAUGAGAAAAUCUACUACUACUACCACUACCACUACUACCACUACAACUUGCACUGCUGCUCCUGCCGCUGCUCCAAUCCGCCGCCGCCUACUGCUGCGCUGUCCUCGAGAACCGAUCCAGGUCCAGAUCGAGAUACUAGGCGCGCGAUCUCCUCUCACUAGAACGACUCGAUAUAGACACGCAGAAGUCGCCAGAUACUAAACGCAAUCUGCCGAUUGAUUGAUGAAUGAAAAUGAUAAUGAAAACGAAAGCGAAAUCGAAAUCGAAAACGAAAGCACAGCCAAGAUAAAGAUACAAUAAUACAGAUACAGAAAAUGAGGCCUCGGGGCGGCAACUGUCUCUCUACUCCUUCUUAGUUCGACUGUGGCACAUCCUUCGGAGCUGCCGCCCUCGCCUCACCAAUGGGAAUGACGGCAAAAUGAGGCGAUUGCUGCCUAAAAUCGAAACAAAAGCAACACAGCCAAACGAUAGACACUUGCCGCCGAGAACAAGGAGGAGAGGAGUCGAUUCGCAGUCCAAAAAUCCCUAGAAAACCAUCCCCAUCCAACCAAACCCAGAGAUGAUAACUCAGCCAGGAACAACUAUUGAAUAAUUUUUAAGCGCCAAACGGCUUUUAAGUGGGCGUUUGUCUGUUUGAAAGUCAAAGCAUUCCACCACCGAAAUUAACUAAAACAAAACAAACAAAUAUGUAACGUAACUCAACGGAAACUAGUCUAAACAACAAAACUGUAGUUAAAGCAGCAACGGUAUCGACGCAAACCAGCAAGUUUAAAGAAAACGAAAAUAUUAAAAAAAAAGAAAUUAACGAGAGAGAGGGGGAGCAGCAGCAGAAAAACCUACGCACUAAACACAAAGCGUAUUUAACAAAUAACUAUAAUUUUUUGGCAACAAAGCAGACAUUUUGUUGUGCUUGACAUGAAUUGGAAACGAAAAUUCAAUUAAAAUAAACAACAACCGAAAAUCGUUUUAUGUUAAGCUCCUAUUAAAACUAUGUAUAUGUAAAUUAAUUAGCAACACACACAGACAUCGUAUUCAUUAUAUACAAGUAUGCUUAAAUCUUAAAUAUAUCGAUAUAUAUAUUUAAAGUAAAAUAGUAACAAAAUGCACACAAAUCCAAAAUUUGUUUGCCAAAAUUUACCUCAAGCGUUAGUCCUUUUCGUCCGCAAAAAGGAUCAAUUCACUUUCUGUUAGCUUACGACAAAAACAUUUAAUAAUGCAAUGUGUAGCUACAGUUAAAUGUGUACUAAACGCUAAAAGAAAAACAAAUUCUUUUGAAAUUAUGCAACUAUUUUUAUUUACACAAACGUUUGAAGCUUCAAUUUUGAAACUGGUUUCUAGAAAUAUACUCUAAAUGUAGCUGGCCACAAAAAAAUGGUCAGCCCUAACUCAUUAGGAAAAAGGAAAAAUAUUCGAUGAAAUAAGUUCAAAGUUUCAACUGUCGACUGAACAAAAAUACAAUAUAAAUUAAUAUAUAAAUAUAAAUUAAACAAUUUCAACAUAAUUUAGUUACGACAAUUUUCGCUUUGAUAAUAGUUUGUUAGGCUUUUUAAUCAUUAGUUUUAUAAAUGUAAACUAUACAAUAAACAAACCAACAAAUGAAAAACCAACAAGUGGACGACGCACUGCCCCCAGUGAAUGAUUCGAGCGGAUCGAUGGAUGGAAAGGAGGGAGUGAUCCCAUUUCUCCUUGGAGUCUCAAGGCGCCGCCCGAAUCAAUUCGAUUUUAGUUAUGUUUAAUUUGCUCUUAGUUGAUUACCAUGUAAUAUAGUUUAAUUUUCGACUAACUACACCUCUGUCUCUCUCAAUGCUCAUCGCUAUAGACUAUAGCUAAGGUGCAGGACAGGAUCGGUUAUAGAGGAUCAAUUGCUAAGGCCUCGGCUGCCCAGAACAUUAAAUAUGUUUAAGACUGAGUUUUCUCAUUUGACGAUGACGAUUGAUUGAUUAAGGAUAUGCAAUAUAUAAUUCGCACUUCAUUUAUUUGAAACGACAAAAUUUUGAUGUAGACUAAGCACUUAAACGAAAUUAAAAAAAAAAACGUAUACCGUGUAUGUGUAUUUGAAUGUCUUUUGUCUUCAAUGUUUAGAGCAAAACAAAUGCAUGAAUAUUUAAUCGAAAAACGAUGAUGGAGUAGAAGAAACUCUUGAAGAAAUUUAAACUGAAGCUAAACUUAAACUUUUCUCUUCUUCGAUUCUCUUAACUGUGCUGCUUUCUUAUGUAUGUAGUUAUUAAUUAUAGCAUUAUAUAUAUUGUCCAAUAUAUAUAGAUGGAUGGAUUAGCGUAAAAACAAACAAACAAAAACAAAACAAAAACCAAUAUGAAUUCAAAACUUUCACGGAGAUCUCAUAGCAAAAACAAAACGAAAUGAAAGAAAAGAAAAGCAUAAAGGCACCGAAAUGCCAAGGCAUUGUGCAGCAGAGUAGAGUUUCUUUUCAACUUUUGUUUAUAACUAAAGUUUUUCUUAACCGUAAACAUAUAGAGUACAGAUUGUUUUCCCCUCAUUUGACCAGAGACAAACGCUCGAAUUAAAUUGACAUCAGCAUCGACAUCAAAAUCAUUUACAUCUCUAAGCACAUACUCCCCGUAGUGGUACAUAUACAAUACGACUACGCAUACGGAUAGUUAGUUUUCGUUCGGUUUAGACACCGUGUACAUAGCAUUAUCUCCACACCCCCACCAAUAAUUAGCCCACAUCUCUCUCCUUAGCUCAGUAAGACGGUUAGCUAUUAUGAGGUAAUACGAGUACGAUAAGUAAUGGACAUGUACAUUAUACUACACGAAUAGCACAACCCCGAUUGGAGCAGGUCUGAACUAAAACAUAAUGUAAUUCACACAAGAUAUCGGCCCAUAUGGGCUGUAUGAUUUGAGGGCGACUGUGUAGCGCCUGUUUGAAAUGAGUUCAUAAGUUAAGAUCAACUGUAAUUGUAAACUGCAUUAGUAUUUGACUUGUAAACCGAUUUUAAGGAUCAUUCUUAAUUAUAUAUACUAGAUACGAAUUACGCAUUAAUUUACGUUAAAUGAGGAUAAUACGAAAAAUUGUGUAAACUGUUUGUAUAAAAAAUAAGAACAAAACAAAAAAAGAAGAAAACGAAUCCAUUUUGUUUUAUUUUUCGCAUUACCUAAAGUGGAUCCAACCCAACCCAAUGCAUUUGCUAAUUAGAAUUUAUAGCCAUGUAACACUGCAAGCCAGACAACUAGCACCCACUAUAUACGAUAUGUGUAUGUAUAUUUAUGGACAAUAUUUGAGAUUAAAACACACACCACACCAACAAUUCUUCAAGUUUGUAUUAGAAUACAGGUACAAAGACAGCAUUCCAUUGAAAGCGGAUACCUAAGGAAGCCACGUAUAUUAUAAACUUUGAAUAUGAACCAAAUAUGAUGAUGAUGAGACUCUCGGAGGAGAGAAGUCUUUUGAAACCAGAAUUGGUCAAGAUUGGUAGAAUAAAACAUAAAAAUGAUUGCGCUCAGGUUAUUAAAUGUAAAAAUUACAAAAUACUCCUAUAUACAUAUAUGAAAUAAUCCCAAAUUCGCAUAGCAUAUAAAUAACCACAUAUAUGUACGUUUAACAUGUUUAACAAAAGGCUGUUUGUAGAAAUUGUGACACAGUUUUUUUAACCCGAACCCACAUCUAACCGACGAUUAACCAACUCGAUGUGUAAAUGCAAAAAGGAUAAUUGAGCAUCUUCGACUCCACAGUGAAUGUAGUUCUAGUUGCUUACACUAACCAGACAGAAGCUGGCUGCUUUGUGCACUCCGAGAUAUUAUGUAAAUACUAAAGAAAAUGAUAAAUAUAGUAAUCGUCGUACAUAAAUUUAGAGAAAACUUUGUGAUUGCUUCUCAUUGAUGAUGAUGACAUAACUGUUUCGUAGGACAACCUUAAGGCAGAUAUUUUUUCUUAUAAGCAGCAUGUAAAAACACUCGAUAC